UUGGAGGGCAAGUCUGGUGCCAGCAGCCGUGGUAAUUCCAGCUCCAAUAGCGUAUAUUAAAGUUGUUGCAGUUAAAAAGCUCGUAGUUGAAUUUCGGGAUCAGAGUGUCGGUCGUGCCUCGGUACGCACUGGUAUUAUUGGUUCCUACCUUCUGAAGAACCGCGAUGUCAUUAAUUUGGUGUCGUGGGGAAUCAGGACUGUUACUUUGAAAAAAUUAGAGUGUUUAAAGCAGGCUUACGCUUGAAUACAUUAGCAUGGAAUAAUGAAAUAGGACGUUUGAUUCUAUUUUGUUGGUUUCUAGGAUUGACGUAAUGAUUAAUAGGGAUAGUUGGGGGCAUUAGUAUUCAAUUGUCAGAGGUGAAAUUCUUGGAUUUAUUGAAGACUAACUACUGCGAAAGCAUUUGCCAAGGAUGUUUUCAUUAAUCAAGAACGAAAGUUAGGGGAUCGAAGACGAUCAGAUACCGUCGUAGUCUUAACCAUAAACUAUGCCGACUAGGGAUCGGAUGAUGUUAAUUUUUUAAUGACUCAUUCGGCGCCUUACGGGAAAC
rnacentral:rRNA from 1 species